rnacentral:tRNA from 1 species
GCCCGGGUGGUGGAACAGGCAGACACAGGAGACUUAAAAUCUCCCGGCUGUAAGGCUGUGCGGGUUCGAGUCCCGCCCUGGGCACCA